AUUGAACGCUGGCGGCAGGCUUAACACAUGCAAGUCGAGCGGGGUGAUGGUGCUUGCACUAUCACUUAGCGGCGGACGGGUGAGUAAUGCUUAGGAAUCUGCCUAUUAGUGGGGGACAACAUCUCGAAAGGGAUGCUAAUACCGCAUACGUCCUACGGGAGAAAGCAGGGGAUCACUUGUGACCUUGCGCUAAUAGAUGAGCCUAGUCGGAUUAGCUAGUUGGUGGGGUAAAGGCCUACCAAGGCGACGACCGGCAGCGGGUCUGAGAGGAUGAUCCGCCACACUGGGACUGAGACACGGCCCAGACUCCUACGGGAGGCAGCAGUGGGGAAUAUUGGAGAAUGGGGGGAAGCCUGAUCCAGCCAUGCAGCGUGUGUGAAGAAGGCCUUAUGGUGGUAAAGCACUUUAAGCGAGGAGGAGGCUCUUUUGGUUAAGACCCAAGAUGAGUGGACGUUACUCGCAGAAUAAGCACCGGCUAACUCUGUGCCAGCAGCCGCCGUAA
rnacentral:rRNA from 1 species